GUCCCUUUGCCUCCGGUUUUUAAACCAGUUGCUGACCUGGGUGGUGGU
rnacentral:miRNA from 1 species